rnacentral:lncRNA from 1 species
GGGGUACGCCGUCCCCGAAUCGGCACAAUAUGCAAUCCCGCCACCAUGACAGCAGUGGAGAGCCCUGUCCAGUGACAGCCAAGAGGUGGUGGGGGUUGGGGUCUGGGAGCCGGGCAUCAUCGCCGUCCCCCAGAUGUCUCCGACCACCUUCCUUUCUGGCCUCCCAACUGUCCCUCUAAAACAUCUUCGAUGCAGCAUGUUGAGACUUCUCUGCAAGCCCGGAGCCCCUGACCCCUGCCCCAGCUCACAGGAGCUGCGCCCACCCCUGCCCAAGCCGGGAGCCUCUGAGGUCUGGCGUGGGGACCAAAGCGGAAGCUGAGGACGAGCGCCUGCUUCUCCCUGGGGCUCAGUGGCCCCAUCUGGAAGGGGAUGGGACUGCACUCACACCGACGCAUGCCAGUAUAAAAGGGGCCGUGGACCCCAAGGAUCCCGAGGCCGGAGGGUCUCGGGGCCCAUGGGCACCGCCACACCCGGCCCGGGGGGUCCGCUACCUGUGCCGACAGCCUGCUUUGUGGCCCAGGUGCACACGGGCAUCGAAGAGACUUCUCACAGAAAACAACUCCUUGACGUUGAAGAAGUCGGAGUGCUUCAGGGGCUCACUGAGGAUCUUGUCGCUGACAUCUGGGAUGGGGGGAGAGGAUGCCGUGUCUGUGGCCCCCCAGCUCCCAACCCUGGAGGGGAGCAACAUGGGGGCGGGGAGGGGCAGUGAAGCCCAGCAGAUGAAGGUGAUGGGGCCACGGGGUCCGCUCCAGGAGACGGAGGUGGGAGCCAGGUUCCGACCGCCGCUCUGCUCCUGGGUAACCCCAGUCCGGUCUUCACCCAGAAAGGAGGGGCCCAGCUGGUUUCUGAGGUCCUUCUGGUACCUCCCAGCCACCAGAGGAAGGUCCCCCCAUCAGGAGUCCAGGGAGGACUCAGCGGUCCAGAGGGCACCUCCCAAGGAGCCGAGCCCCGUGUUAACGUCACCCCGGGGGCGCGGUGGCCUUAGCCCCAUCCUCAGAUGACGGUGGCUGACGGAGGGCAGGGCAGCGCCGCNNNNNNNNNNNNNNNNNNNNNNNNNNNNNNNNNNNNNNNNNNNNNNN